AUCUUUGCGCUUGGGGCAAUGACGCAACUAGUGAGGUAAAACCGAGGCACGUCAAUUGUUGGUCGAAAACUAUUUCCAAACAUUUACCCCUUACUGAUAAGUAGUGUUCGAAAAUUCGGCUGCCCAACUGUCUUGG
rnacentral:snRNA from 1 species